rnacentral:rRNA from 1 species
AUACGGAGGGGGCUAGCGUUGUUCGGAAUCACUGGGCGUAAAGCGCUCGUAGGCGGAUUGGUCAGUCAGAGGUGAAAUCCCAAGGCUCAACCUUGGAACUGCCUUUGAUACUGCCAGUCUUGAGGUCGAGAGAGGUAAGUGGAAUUCCUAGUGUAGAGGUGAAAUUCGUAGAUAUUAGGAAGAACACCAGUGGCGAAGGCGACUUACUGGCUCGAUUCUGACGCUGAGGAGCGAAAGCGUGGGGAGCAAACAGGAUUAGAAACCCUAGUAGUCC